GAAGGUAAAGCUCAGUGGUAGAGCGCAUGCUUAGCGUACACAGUUCCUGGGUUCUAUCCCCAGUACCUCCA
rnacentral:tRNA from 1 species